CCGUGGGAAUGUUUCCUUUUCAUCACAUCUGGCCACUUGUUAUCUUUUGAUUUCCCCCCAGCUGUAUUUAGAUAUGAUGAACAAAUCUUUUUACUUUAACUCAUGGAAUUCCUUCUGCCUUUUUCCUGCUUGGAUUCUCUGUUUCCUGGAUCUCACAUCUUCCUAUUUUUUGACUUUAUCUCCUUGGUUGGUGGAGCACAUCCUCCCAUUGUUUCAUCCCAGGGAGGAGGUGGCACGAGGCUGAGGAGGCAGUGACAUCGAUAGUGGCGUGCUGCCUCAGAGUCACACGGCCUGUUCUGGCUGGGGUGCCUGCUGUGCCCUACACUUAUUUGUCAUUGCAGAAUUUUUUAUUGUUGUUCAGCUGAAGAUUUACUCCAUUGCCUUCUAUUUUUCCAGUGUUGACAUUUGCAAGUCCCCGAUCCUUUGUAUGUGACCUGUCUUUUUCUUCGGAAAUUUGAAACACAUUCUCUUUUAUGGACCCUAAACUCUGUACUCCCGCACAAGGGAAGUGCCAAGACCAGCUCAGUCAGGGAGACCCUAACCCAGCGGCGCUAGAGGGAAGCGUGACACUGCAGGGCACAUUGAGAGACACUGGGCUUGUAAGGGUGACGGUGAUGGGGGGGCGGCAGGCAGCCACCUGAUUAGGCUGCACCUGUGAAAUCCCAAUCUCAACUAUGCAGCCAUAAAAAAUGAUGAGUUCAUGUCCUUUGUAGGGACAUGGAUGAAAUUGGAAACCAUCAUUCUCAGUAAACUAUCGCAAGAACAAAAAACCAAACACCGCAUAUUCUCACUCAUAGGUGGGAAUUGAACAAUGAGAUCACAUGGACACAGGAAGGGGAAUAUCACACUCUGGGGACUGUGGUGGGGUCGGGGGAGGGGGGAGGGAUAGCAUUGGGAGAUAUACCUAAUGCUAGAUGACACGUUAGUGGGUGCAGCGCACCAGCAUGGCACAUGUAUACAUAUGUAACUAACCUGCACAAUGUGCACAUGUACCCUAAAACUUAGAGUAUAAUAAUCCACAGAAACUCCGAGGGAACUAAAUGGAAUAUCACGGGAAGGCAUAGGGUCAGCGGAGGAGCUACCUUGGUCUGUUACUCACGUACUUAGUGAAGGCAGUCAGGUUUCCAGUUAAAUUCUCCAUAAUCUGCAAGUGGUCUAGUCUUAGGGCUCGAACGCAGACCGUCACCCAGCUCCAUUUACUUAUGUAUGUUCUAACAACACAGGAAAAAGGACCUAGGAGGAAGAGGAGGAGGAGGAGGAGGAAGAGGAGGAGGAGGAGGAGGAGGAGGAGGAGAUCUGCCUUGGGUGAGAUCAGGCCAGGGCUGAACCUGUGAGAUUCAAAUUGGGGCUUCGUUGUUUGUGUACAUUCUUGUGAAGUCAUUUCUGGGACUUCGUCCCUCCCCACCUUGCUUGCUGUUGGAGCAUAACUUACAAUAUUGUUUCGUUUUUUUUUUUUUUUUUAGACGGAGUCUUGCUCUGUCGCCCAGGCUGGAGUGCAGUGGUGCAGUCUUGGCUCACUGCAAGCUCUGCCUCCUGGGGUAACUUCAUGCAGAGUAAAGAAAUACCACACCCAGGACUUUGCAGGUUGCUCAAGCAGAUGGCCACAUGGACCCUGGCUUCCUCAGAGCCUACUGUGACUAGAGCACAACCAGUACAAGUGACAAGAGACCCCUGAGGGCUCAGCGCAGGCUUUGAGAGGAAAGCGAUGCUUGAACUGGGGUGGGGAGAAUGAGUCAUGGCAAUACCCAGCAUGUAUGGACUGUGUGCCGGACAUGACUUUGGUCACGGGGUGAGGUGGCUCAGAUAGGAUUUGAACCCGAGCAGACAGACUCCUGGACCCACGCACCUCACCAAGUGUGGUUGGCUAGCGAGCCGAAAGAACCCUGGAGGCAGGGUGCUGAAGGAGGGGAGAGUGGUGUGAGGCUCAUGGUGAAACCCUGUCUCUACUAAAAAUACAAAAAUGAGCUGGGCAUGGUGGCAGGUGCCUGUAAUUCCAGCUACUCGGGAGGCUGAGGCAGGAGAACUGCUUGAAUCUGGGAGGCAGAGGUUGCAGUGAGCCGAGAUUGCACCACUCACUAAAAUGUUUACAGUGGUUAUCACUGAGAAAAAAUAUUAAAUGUUAAAGUUGAUUUUUACUAUCUUUUAUCUGCUUUUUUUUUUUUUUGCAUCUGCUCCUGUACCUAUGUGCAAUGAUCAUGUAUUACUUUUGCAAUCAGACAAAUACAUAAGCUCUACUUUAAAACUGUUUAUUUAUCUACCAGGUUAACGACAAAUACUGAAACUCAGUCUUGGCCUGAACCUGGUG
rnacentral:lncRNA from 1 species